rnacentral:rRNA from 1 species
AUGUUGAGUCGCUGUGUAUCACGCCUGCAGAAUUUGAUCAGGCUCAACCUCAAGUUCUACGAAGAUCAGGCUGUUCCCAAAGUAAAUGUGUUGUUGUGCAUCAGGGCGAUCCCAUUUGGUUCACUUCAAGGUCCAUGGAUCAGAUGCUAUCCACUGUGGAGAAUACGAGUAAUGAAAAUUGUGCCAGUGAGUGUAAGGUGGCUGUCUAUGAGAGUACUGGCCCUGAGGGAGGUAGACGCUGGACCUUUUAGCGAGGAGCAAAGUUUUCUGAUGAUAACCCUUUUGUACCAGUUGAAAUCCUCUAAUGUAGAUGGCAAUGAACUCUUGUACAGCAGAAAAUAUCUGGAAGAAGCAACUCACUAA